rnacentral:rRNA from 1 species
UACGGAGGAUGCAAGCGUUAUCCGGAUUUAUUGGGUUUAAAGGGUGCGCAGGUUGUUUGAUAAGUCAGUGGUGAAAGUCUGUCGCUUAACGGUAGGAUUGCCAUUGAUACUGUUAGACUUGAAUAUGGAUGAGGUAGGCGGAAUGUGUAGUGUAGCGGUGAAAUGCAUAGAUAUUACACAGAACACCGAUUGCGAAGGCAGCUUACUAAUCCAUCAUUGGCGCUGAGGCACGAAAGCGUGGGGAUCAAACAGGA